AUACGGAGGGGGCUAGCGUUGUUCGGAAUUACUGGGCGUAAAGCGUACGCAGGCGGAUAUUUAAGUUAGAGGUGAAAUCCCAGGGCUCAACCCUGGAACUGCCUUUAAAACUGGGUAUCUAGAGUUAUGGAGAGGUAAGUGGAAUUCCUAGUGUAGAGGUGAAAUUCGUAGAUAUUAGGAGGAACACCAGAGGCGAAGGCGGCUUACUGGACAUAUACUGACGCUGAGGUACGAAAGUGUGGGGAGCGAACGGGAUUAGAUACCCUUGUAGUCC
rnacentral:rRNA from 1 species